rnacentral:lncRNA from 1 species
AAGGCCGGCUUGAGCCUUAGGCGACUGAGGCGGUCGCCUAAGGCCCCCGGCCUGAGGAAGGCCCCGAUUUUUUUUUUUUUGCCUAGGAUAGGAGGCACCGCUACAGUGUCAGUGCUUUCCGGCGGCAGCAAGCAGCAGGCUACGGGCUAUAGGUAGGCGGGCAGAAUUGACAAAUAACGGGCUACAGUGUCAGUGCUUCCCCCCCUUCUCUCCCAGAGCUUUUUUUUUUCUUUCCUGAACCUUUUCUUUGUUGAACCUCCCCCCUUGAGGCUUCCCAUUUCUCAAAGCUUCAGUUUUUGGGCCGCCCCUGCUCCGGAGUCUUGUCCGGACCUCCUCUCCUCUCCAGACUCCAGCGACCCGCUCUCCUCGGCAGCUCGGCUCCUCCAACUUCCGGCCUCCG